GGAUCACAAGCCAAAGUUUGAGGCCGGCCUCAGCGGGUUAGCAAGACUCUGUCUCAAAAAACGAAAAGGGCUGGGGGCGUAGCUCAGUGGUUAAGUGCCCCCAGGUUCAAUCCCCAGUCCCAGAGCACAGCACCAGUGGCCUUAGGGUCAGGUGGAAUCCUGGGUGCCCCAGAGGCCAGGUGGCAGUCUCAUACUCGGUGUGAGUGUGUGGGGGGCUGUGGGGGGGCUGGGUGUGCGUGCACCUGACCUCCCAGCACGGCUCCUGCCUUCCCCAUCCAUCUUCCUCUCCUUUCCGUGGGCCGCUCACACAGGCCUGGCUGUCCCAGCAGGUGUCCUUGCUGGAGUUGUGACAGACAGCUGUGCUCAUCAACCUUGCCAUCCAGAGGGUCUGGGGUCCGCACAGGGCUGGUCACAGCACUGAUGCCAGCAGCAGGUGACACUGCUGUUCCCAGGAGAAAGAGCAGCUGUAGGUCCCUCUCCUCUUCCAGAGUCACUGAGCAGAGUGGAUGACAGCAAGCUGCCCUUGUUUAAAGUCACCUUUGGGUAAGUUUCAACAUAAGUAUAGACCCAGAGCCCAUCACCACACUGAGAUGAGGAACGUAUCCACCCUCCUCAGACUUUGUAAUCCCCCCUCAGCCUCCUCCCACCUCAUUCCCAGACAACAACUGAAGACACCUUUGUUUUGGUUUGUUUUCUGUGCUGGGAUUGAACCCAGGGCCUUGCACCUGCCAGGUGAGCACUCUCCACUGAGCCACACCCAGCCCAGCUGGCUUCUAGUUCCUAUAAAGGAACCACGCAGGGUGCACCGCUGUUGAUCGGGCUUCUUUCACUCAGUAUAUCUCCAUUUUGAGGUACUAGAGAUGGAACCUGGGGACACUUGGCCCUGAGCUACAUCCCCAGCCCUUUUAAUUUUUUAUUUUGAGACAGGGUCUCACUAAGUUGCUGAGGCUGGCCUCAAACUUGCAAUCCUCCCACCUCAGCCUCCCACUCUUCACUGGGAUUACAGGUGUAUACCACCGCACCUGGCUUCAGCAUUAUUGAG
rnacentral:lncRNA from 1 species